GCGGACGGGUGAGUAACACGUGAGUAACCUGCCUUAGACAUUGGGAUAGCCUCGGGAAACCGGGAUUAAUACCAAAUAAAAUCAUAAUGACACAUGUCAUAACGAUCAAAACUCCGGUGGUCUAAGAUGGACUCGCGUCCCAUUAGCUAGUUGGUAGAGUAAAAGCCUACCAAGGCGACGAUGGGUAGCCGGCCUGAGAGGGUGAACGGCCACAUUGGAACUGAGAAACGGUCCAA
rnacentral:rRNA from 1 species